rnacentral:rRNA from 1 species
AUUGAACGCUGGCGGCAGGCUUAACACAUGCAAGUCGAGCGGGGUGAUGGUGCUUGCACUAUCACUUAGCGGCGGACGGGUGAGUAAUGCUUAGGAAUCUGCCUAUUAGUGGGGGACAACAUCUCGAAAGGGAUGCUAAUACCGCAUACGUCCUACGGGAGAAAGCAGGGGAUCACUUGUGACCUUGCGCUAAUAGAUGAGCCUAAGUCGGAUAAGCUAGUUGGUGGGGUAAAGGCCUACCAAGUCGACGAUCUGUAGCGGGUCUGAGAGGAUGAUCCGCCACGCUGGGCCUGAAACACGGGCCAGACUUCUAAGGGAGGCAGCAGUGGGGAAUAUUGGACAAUGGGGGUAACCCUGAUCCAGCCAUGCAGCGUGUGUGAAGAAGGCCUUAUGGUUGUAAAGCACUUUAAGCGAGGAGGAGGCUCUUUUGGUUAAUACCCAAGAUGAGUGGACGUUACUCGCAGAAUAAGCACCGGCUAACUCUGUGCCAGCAGCCGCCGUAA